GAAUUUUAUAAAUUUAAUAUUUAAUUUUAAUAUAUAAAAUUAUUUAAUUGGGAGGAUUAUUAAAUUUAAUUAACUUUAAUAUUAUUAAUACCAUUAAUUUAUGAAAAAUAAUAAAUAAUAAAUUUUUAAUAAAAUAAAAUUAAUUACCUUAGGGAUAACAGCAUAAAAUUAUUUAAUAGUUCAUAUAAAAAAUAAUAUUUGU
rnacentral:rRNA from 1 species